UACACCAGUGCACCAGCAUAACGUCACGCACCCGUCCUGUUGGAGAGAGUGUUGCUGCGGAGGAGAUGGGUGGAACUGAUUGAUAGCAAUAUAUAUAUACGUAUAUGUCCACGGAUGUGCUGCUAUUAGUCGGGAAUUUUUUACUGACAGAGAUGAGAGGCGAUGUGCCGUUUUGCCGGGGAUAUAAUGGCAAUCUGUAAGUGCGUGUUUUCGCGUGGGAGGUGAUGCGUUCGGCGACAAAUAGCUGUAUUUUUCGGACUGUUAGUAUGGUGCUUUGCUUUUGUCUAUGCGAAUAUGGCUUGUGGGUUCUUUGCGGAACGGGCCUCCAAUCUCGACAGUGAGUUGUUUUGUUUUCUGUUCUGGCGUAUAUAUUUGGCAGGAUUGAAGAGAGCAUGCUGUUUUGUUUUACGUAAAACGGCACAAAGGGUGGAAAGAAGCCGUUUGGGUGGGAUCUUUUUAUUCUUGCUCUCCCCCGCCCCCCCGGCAAUGCAAGUACUGUCGAGUUGUAGGGCCUGAGAGCCUCUGCGGGAAGAGACUAUCUUUCCUUGGUGGCUGACACGCGUACUACUGAGCGGCACGUGAAAUCAAAUCUUCAUGCAGAGCGUCGACAUAACUGUGUAGCGUGGGCCCCCGCUGUAUGAGCACCAUGCGAAUUGCGGAAGUGAGUAACGUCUUUGCUGGAGAGUCGCUACGACUCUUCGGUUUUACUGGAAAGGCGGUAAGAAGCGGGUAAAGGCUGCGUGCGGUGUGGAAAGCGAUGCAUAUUCGCUGUGCUAGUGUUCUGUAGUCAUCGCGAUGGAGUUGGUGUGCAACUGUGCGGAACGGUGCUUGUUCCUCUGGCGUUGUAUGUGGCGUUAGAAAAAGAAAUUCUCACUGGCACCAGUCGACAAUGUUUGUGGUGAGAAGACUUCGCUGUCGAAUUGAGUUUUCACUGAAAG
rnacentral:misc_RNA from 1 species